rnacentral:rRNA from 1 species
UACGUAGGGGGCUAGCGUUGUCCGGAAUCACUGGGCGUAAAGCGCGUGUAGGCGGCCCGAUAAGUCCGCUGUGAAAGUCCAGGGCUCAACCCUGGGAUGCCGGUGGAUACUGUCGGGCUCGAGUCCGGAAGAGGCGAGUGGAAUUCCUGGUGUAGCGGUGAAAUGCGCAGAUAUCAGGAGGAACACCAAUGGCGAAGGCAGCUCGCUGGGACGUGACUGACGCUGAGACGCGAAAGCGUGGGGAGCAAACAGG